AUUGAACGCUGGCGGCAUGCUUUACACAUGCAAGUCGAACGGUAACAGGUUAAGCUGACGGGUGGCGAACGGGUGAGUAAUGCAUCGGAACGUGCCCGGUCGUGGGGGAUAACGCAGCGAAAGUUGCGCUAAUACCGCAUACGAUCUGAGGAUGAAAGCGGGGGACCGUAAGUCCUCGCGCGAUCGGAGCGGCCGAUGUCAGAUUAGGUAGUUGGUGGGGUAAAGGCUCACCAAGCCAACGAUCUGUAGCUGGUCUGAGAGGACGACCAGCCACACUGGGACUGAGACACGGCCCAGACUCCUACGGGAGGCAGCAGUGGGGAAUUUUGGACAAUGGGCGAAAGCCUGAUCCAGCAAUGCCGCGUGCAGGAAGAAGGCCUUCGGGUUGUAAACUGCUUUUGUACGGAGCGAAAAGGUCUCCUCUAAUACAGGGGGCUCAUGACGGUACCGUAAGAAUAAGCACCGGCUAACUACGUGCCAGCCGCCGCGGUAA
rnacentral:rRNA from 1 species